GGUUAAGCGACUAAGCGUACACGGUGGAUGCCCUGGCAGUCAGAGGCGAUGAAGGACGUGCUAAUCUGCGAUAAGCGUCGGUGAGGUGAUAUGAACCGUUAUAACCGGCGAUUUCCGAAUGGGGAAACCCAGUGUGUUUCGACACACUAUCAUUAACUGAAUCCAUAGGUUAAUGAGGCGAACCGGGGGAACUGAAACAUCUAAGUACCCCGAGGAAAAGAAAUCAACCGAGAUUCCCCCAGUAGCGGCGAGCGAACGGGGAGGAGCCCAGAGCCUGAAUCAGUGUGUGUGUUAGUGGAAGCGUCUGGAAAGGCGUGCGAUACAGGGUGACAGCCCCGUACACAAAAAUGCACAUAUUGUGAGCUCGAUGAGUAGGGCGGGACACGUGGUAUCCUGUCUGAAUAUGGGGGGACCAUCCUCCAAGGCUAAAUACUCCUGACUGACCGAUAGUGAACCAGUACCGUGAGGGAAAGGCGAAAAGAACCCCGGCGAGGGGAGUGAAAAAGAACCUGAAACCGUGUACGUACAAGCAGUGGGAGCCUCUUAAUGGGGUGACUGCGUACCUUUUGUAUAAUGGGUCAGCGACUUAUAUUCUGUAGCAAGGUUAACCGAAUAGGGGAGCCGAAGGGAAACCGAGUCUUAACUGGGCGUUAAGUUGCAGGGUAUAGACCCGAAACCCGGUGAUCUAGCCAUGGGCAGGUUGAAGGUUGGGUAACACUAACUGGAGGACCGAACCGACUAAUGUUGAAAAAUUAGCGGAUGACUUGUGGCUGGGGGUGAAAGGCCAAUCAAACCGGGAGAUAGCUGGUUCUCCCCGA
rnacentral:rRNA from 1 species